UAAGGAAUAUCGGACAAUGGUCGCAAGACUGAUCCAGCCAUGCCGCGUGAAGGAUGACGGCCCUAUGGGUUGUAAACUUCUUUUGUACGGGAAAAAACCCCUCUACGUGUAGAGGGCUGAUUGUACCGUAAGAAUAAGGAUCGGCUAACUCCGUGCCAGCAGCCGCGGUAAUACGGAGGAUCCAAGCGUUAUCCGGAUUUAUUGGGUUUAAAGGGUGCGUAGGCGGAACGAUAAGUCAGUGGUGAAAGCCUGCAGCUUAACUGCAGAACUGCCAUUGAUACUGUCGAUCUUGAGUACAUUUGAUGUGGGCGGAAUGUGUCAUGUAGCGGUGAAAUGCUUAGAUAUGACACAGAACACCGAUUGCGAAGGCAGCUCACAAAACUGUAACUGACGCUGAGGCACGAAAGCGUGGGUAUCAAACAG
rnacentral:rRNA from 1 species